rnacentral:rRNA from 1 species
GAUGAACGCUGGCGGCGUGCUUAACACAUGCAAGUCGAACGAUUAAAGCCCCUUCGGGGGUGUAUAGAGUGGCGAACGGGUGAGUAACACGUGGGCAAUCUGCCCCUCACUUAGGGAUAACUCAGGGAAACUUGAGCUAAUACCGGAUACUCCGAACUGAUCGCAUGGUCGGUUCGGGAAAGCUCCGACGGUGAGGGAUGAGCCCGCGGCCCAUUAGCUUGUUGGUAGGGUAACGGCCUACCAAGGCGACGAUGGGUAGCCGAGCUGAGAGGCUGAUCGGCCACACUGGGACUGCGACACGGCCCAGACUCCUACGGGAGGCAGCAGUGGGGAAUUUUGCGCAAUGGGCGAAAGCCUGACGCAGCAACGCUGCGUGCGGGAUGAAGGCUCUCGGGUCGUAAACCGCUUUCAGCAGGGACGAAAUUGACAGUACCUGCAGAAGAAGCCCCGGCUAAAUACGUGCCAGCAGCCGCCGUAA